rnacentral:rRNA from 1 species
UCAGGAUGAACGCUGGCGGCUGCUUACACAUGCAAGUCGAACGCAACCUUCGGGUUGAGUGGCGGACGGGUGAGUAACGCGUGAGAAUCUGCCUUGGGGUCGGGGACAACCACUGGAAACGGUGGCUAAUACCGGAUAAGCCUUUGGGUAAAAAAUUUAUUGCCCCAAGAGGAGCUCGCGUCUGAUUAGCUAGUUGGUGAGGUAAAAGCUCACCAAGGCAGCGAUCAGUAGCUGGUCUGAGAGGACGAUCAGCCACACUGGGACUGAGACACGGCCCAGACUCCUACGGGAGGCAGCAGUGGGGAAUUUUCCGCAAUGGGCGAAAGCCUGACGGAGCAAGACCGCGUGAGGGAGGAAGGCUCUUGGGUUGUAAACCUCUUUUCUCAGGGAAGAAGCUCUGACGGUACCUGAGGAAUCAGCCUCGGCUAACUCCGUGCCAGCAGCCGCGGUAAUACGGAGGAGGCAAGCGUUAUCCGGAAUUAUUGGGCGUAAAGCGUCCGCAGGUGGCGAUUCAAGUCUGCUGUCAAAGCACGGGGCUUAACUCCGUUAAGGCAGUGGACACUGAAUAGCUAGAGUGCCGUACGGGUAGAGGGAAUUCCCGGUGUAGCGGUGAAAUGCGUAGAGAUCGGGAAGAACAUCGGUGGCGAAAGCGCUCUACUGGACGGCAACUGACACUCAGGGACGAAAGCUAGGGGAGCGAAUGGGAUUAGAUACCCCAGUAGUCCUAGCUGUAAACGAUGGAUACUAGGUGUAGCUUGUAUCGAACCGAGCUGUGCCGAAGCUAACGCGU